GACAGAGGAUGCAAGCGUUAUCCGGAAUGAUUGGGCGUAAAGCGUCUGUAGGUGGCUUUUUAAGUCCGCCGUCAAAUCCCAGGGCUCAACCCUGGACAGGCGGUGGAAACUACCAAGCUGGAGUACGGUAGGGGCAGAGGGAAUUUCCGGUGGAGCGGUGAAAUGCGUAGAGAUCGGAAAGAACACCAACGGCGAAAGCAGCUCGCUGGGACGGUACUGACGCUGAGACGCGAAAGCGUGGGGAGCAAACAAG
rnacentral:rRNA from 1 species